rnacentral:rRNA from 1 species
UUUGCAUAUCAAUAACGGAGGAAAAGAAACUAACAAGGAUUCCCUUAGUAACUGCGAGUGAAGAGGGAAAAGCUCAAAUUUAAAAUCUGGCAGUUUUGCUGUCCGAGUUGUAAUUUAGAGAAGUGUUACCCGUGUUGGACCGUGUAUAAGUCUCCUGGAAUGGAGCGUCAUAGAGGGUGAGAAUCCCGUCUUUGACACGGACUACCAAUGCAAUGUGGUGCGCUCUCGAAGAGUCGAGUUGUUUGGGAAUGCAGCUCUAAAUGGGUGGUAAAUUCCAUCUAAAGCUAAAUAUUGGCGAGAGACCGAUAGCGAACAAGUACCGUGAGGGAAAGAUGAAAAGAACUUUGGAAAGAGAGUUAAACAGUACGUGAAAUUGCUGAAAGGGAAACGCUUGAAGUCAGUCGCGUUGGCCAGGGAUCAGCCUUGCUUUUUGUGAGGUGUACUUCCUGGUUGACGGGUCAGCAUCAGUUUCAGCCACUGGAAAAAGGCUUGGGGAAUGUGGCACCUUUGGGUGUGUUAUAGCCCCUUGUUGUAUACAGUGGUUGGGACUGAGGAACUCAGCACGCCGCAAGGCCGGGUUUCGACCACGUUCGUGCUUAGGAUGCUGGCAAAAUGGCUUUAAGCGACCCGUCUUGAAACACGGACCAACAA